rnacentral:rRNA from 1 species
UACGUAGGUGGCAAGCGUUGUCCGGAUUUAUUGGGUUUAAAGGGUGCGUAGGCGGUCAUGUAAGUCAGCGGUGAAAUCCGGCAGCUCAACUGUCGAUGUGCCAUUGAUACUGCAUGACUUGAGUACUGAUGAGGUAGGCGGAAUUGACGGUGUAGCGGUGAAAUGCUUAGAUAUCGUCAAGAACACCGAUAGCGAAGGCAGCUUACUAAGCAGUAACUGACGCUGAGGCACGAAAAGUGUGGGGAUCAAACAGG